ACCCUGGCAGAAGAUGCCACAAGGGUGUUGAUGUUCAGAAACUGCUGAUGUCUGGGGAAUUCAACUUUAUAAAUUCUAAAUCUUUAGAAUUUAUACAGAAUUAUAUGGGGAGGAGGGAGAGAGGGGGAAAAAAAAAAAGAAAAAAAAAAAGAACUGAGGGGAGCUGAAAUUCUGCUGACAAAAAGCUCUUGGUGAUGAGAGAAUAAGCAUUGAGUUCUACUCCUGAUGGCUAAGAACAGAAACAGAGGCUUCAGUGGGACGUCUAGAACGCCGAUACUUACGUCCUCGAGCAGCCGUCCUUCCACUCGCAGCUCCCAUGAUGCUACAGUUCCCUCGCCGUCCUCGGCGUCCGGCUUGGCAGGGUUGAAAGUGUUGGAGAUAAAAAUACGCAGCUUUCGUUUUUGCUGGAGAAAGACAGAUUCAAACACUUUAAUGAGCAAACGAUUUCAUGAUCCAUCAGCUGUUCUUCUUACUCAGACACAUACCAAUUUCCCCAAUUGCCACCUAGUUGCGCUAUAAUCCUGUUACGGCCUUCAGCUUACACUUUCCUAUCUAUUUAGAAGACCUAUUUAUUUAUUAAUAAUGGCUGAAUCACAUUGCUUUAUGUCCUAGUUAGUACCACUUGGCUUUAAAAAUGAUUCAAAUUCUGCUGAGCAAAACAAAAUCCCAUUUCAAUGUAAACAUGGAGUAAAAGGCCGGGGUGAUCGAUCGGUCGAUCCGGUUAAAACCGAGUUAUGUUGUUUUUUAACCUAUGCAACUUUGCCUUUUUUGCAUUUAAGUGCAUUUUUUUUUAUAUCUUGAUAUCUUGAAUGCCACCUGGUGGUCCAGCAGCAGGACCCUGUGCUCUCAUUGCUGCGGCUGGAGUUCAAUUCCAGGGCAGAGUGUUAACCCAGUAACUGAAGGGAACUCUGUGUCGGUCCUAAGCAUGGAUAAAAUGGGAGGGUUGCGUCACGAAGGGCAUCCUAUGCCAAAUCAAUUAUGUGGACUAGACGACCCGCUGUGGCGACUCUGAACAGGAAGCAGCUGAAAGAAUUACACGUGAUUAAUUUUUUUUUGUUUAUAUCUUGCUUUUGUUAGAAAGCUGCUUCAAACCUCAGCAACUCUGAGAAAGGGUUUGGCCUUGUUACUGUGAGUGCAUGCAAGUAAAAUAAAAAAUAAAGAACUAAACUAAAUAUCUGGCUAACGGUUUAUGUUACAGUGACAUCAAGAUCAAAACAAAAAACAUAUGAGGCAUAGAUGCAGCGCCUGUCAGUCCAAGGAAAGUGACCUCUUACUUGUCAAAGCAAAUAAAAUGUCUCUGUUAGAAAUGCA